UACAGAGGGGGCAAGCGUUAUUCGGAAUUAUUGGGCGUAAAGGGCGCGUAGGCGGCCUGGCAAGUGGAAGGUGAAAUCCCUCGGCUUAACCGAGGAACUGCCCUCCAAACUGCUUGGCUUGAGUCCGGGAGAGGUGAGUGGAAUUCCCAGUGUAGCGGUGAAAUGCGUAGAUAUCGGAAGGAACACCUGUGGCGAAAGCGGCGCACUGGACCAAAACUGACGCUGAGGCGCGAAAGCUAGGGGAGCAAACAGG
rnacentral:rRNA from 1 species